rnacentral:rRNA from 1 species
CACCGCCCGUCACGCCAUGGGAGUUGGUUUCACCCGAAGAUGGUGCGCUAACCCGCAAGGGAGGCAGCCAGCCACGGUGGGAUCAGCGACUGGGGUGAAGUCGUAACAAAGGUACC